rnacentral:rRNA from 1 species
UACAGAGGGUGCAAGCGUUAAUCGGAAUUACUGGGCGUAAAGCGCGCGUAGGUGGUUCGUUAAGUUGGAUGUGAAAUCCCCGGGCUCAACCUGGGAACUACAUUCAAAACUGUCGAGCUAGAGUAUGGUAGAGGGUGGUGGAAUUUCCUGUGUAGCGGUGAAAUGCGUAGAUAUAGGAAGGAACACCAGUGGCGAAGGCGACCACCUGGACCGUAACUGACGCUGAGACACGAAAGCGUGGGUAGCAAACAGG